rnacentral:rRNA from 1 species
UGGGGAAUAUUGCACAAUGGGCGAAAGCCUGAUGCAGCAACGCCGCGUGAGUGAUGAAGGCCUUCGGGUUGUAAAGCUCUGUCUUUUGGGACGAUAAUGACGGUACCAAAGGAGGAAGCCAACGGCUAACUACGUGCCAGCAGCCGCGGUAAUACGUAGGUGGCAAGCGUUGUCCGGAUUUACUGGGCGUAAAGGAUGCGUAGGCGGAUUUUUAAGUGAGAUGUGAAAUACCCGGGCUUAACUUGGGUGCUGCAUUUCAAACUGGGAAUCUAGAGUGCGGGAGAGGAGAAUGGAAUUCCUAGUGUAGCGGUGAAAUGCGUAGAGAUUAGGAAGAACACCAGUGGCGAAAGGCGAUUCUCUGGACCGUAACUGACGCUGAGGCAUGAAAGCGUGGGUAGCAAACAGGAUUAGAUACCCUGGUAGUCCACGCCGUAAACGAUGAGUACUAGGUGUAGGAGGUAUCGACCCCUUCUGUGCCGCAGUUAACACAAUAAGUACUCCGCCUGGGAAGUACGAUCGCAAGAUUAAAAACUCAAAGGAAUUGAC